UACGAAGGGUGCAAACGUUGCUCGGAAUUAUUGGGCGUAAAGCGCACGUAGGCGGCAUUGCAAGUCGGAUGUGAAAUCCCUCGGCUUAACCAAGGAAGUGCAUCCGAAACUGCAGUGCUUGAGUACUUAAGAGGAUCGCGGAAUUUACGGUGUAGCAGUGAAAUGCGUAGAGAUCGUAAGGAAGACCAGUGGCGAAGGCGGGUCUCUGGACAGUUCCUGACACUGAGGCACGAAGGCCAGGGGAGCAAACGGG
rnacentral:rRNA from 1 species